UGAAACUUUAAGUUAAAGCAAACUAUUAAUUUUCAAAAUUAAAAAUAAAUUUAUUAAUUAAGUUUCAA
rnacentral:tRNA from 1 species